GAUGAACGCUAGCGGCAGGCCUAACACAUGCAAGUCGAACGGUAACAUUUCUUGCUUGCAAGAAGAUGACGAGUGGCGCACGGGUGCGUAACGCGUAUACAAUCUGCCCUUUACUGGGGUAUAGCCCAGAGAAAUUUGGAUUAAGCCCCCAUGGUACAUGUUUAUGGCAUCAUAUACAUGUUAAAGGAUACGGUAAAGGAUGAGUAUGCGUCCCAUUAGCUAGAUGGUAAGGUAACGGCUUACCAUGGCCACGAUGGGUAGGGGCCCUGAGAGGGGGAUCCCCCACACUGGUACUGAGACACGGACCAGACUCCUACGGGAGGCAGCAGUGAGGAAUAUUGGACAAUGGGCGGAAGCCUGAUCCAGCCAUGCCGCGUGCAGGAUGACUGCCCUAUGGGUUGUAAACUGCUUUUAUACAGGAAGAAUAAGGGGUUCGUGAACCCUGAUGACGGUACUGUAAGAAUAAGGACCGGCUAACUCCG
rnacentral:rRNA from 1 species